rnacentral:rRNA from 1 species
CCUACGGGCGGCAGCAGUGAGGAAUAUUGGUCAAUGGGCGCGAGCCUGAACCAGCCAAGUAGCGUGAAGGAUGACUGCACUACGUGUCGUAAACUUCUUUUAUAAAGGAAUAAAGUGAGGCACGUGUGCCCUUUUGUAUGUACUUUAUGAAUAAGGAUCGGCUAACUCCGUGCCAGCAGCCGCGGUAAUACGGAGGAUCCGAGCGUUAUCCGGAUUUAUUGGGUUUAAAGGGAGCGUAGAUGGGUUGUUAAGUCAGUUGUGAAAGUUUGCGGCUCAACCGUAAAAUUGCAAUUGAUACUGGCAGCCUUGAGUACAGUUGAGGUAGGCGGAAUUCGUGGUGUAGCGGUGAAAUGCAUAGAUAUCACGAAGAACUCCGAUUGCGAAGGCAGCUUACUGGACUGCCACUGACGUUGAUGCUCGAAAGUGUGGGUAUCAAACAGGAUUAGAUACCCGGGUAGUC